CUCUCUCUCUCUCUCUUACCGAUGCCUCUCUCUUGUUCAAAACUGCUUCUGGUGCGGCGAGGUGCUUCCGCCUCCCUCUGCCGCCACAGCCACGCUCCCCUGCCAUCUCCUAUAUUCUCUCGAUUGAACACCAUUGGCGGAGCCAUCACCAUGCCCUAGCCACCCCUCUGUCUCUCUUUCACCGUUAUCUCUCUCUCUCUCUCUCCCUUUCUCAUCGCUUCCGGCGCAGCGAAGCGCUUCCGCCUCCAUCUCCGCCAUGUGAUGAUGGGGAGCGAAUUCGCCGGUUGCACUGAUGGAGUGAUUGAAUUCGGUGUGCGGCCGACCAAGGACUUUGCGUUUGGGGAAUUUUAUUGUUGGUAGAGGAUUGUGCACACCUGGAGGAGGUAGGCUUCAUCGAUCGAGGUUCGAGGGUUUGGCAGCGGUGGAGGCGGCGAAUUCAACUUUGGUUUGUUGAAGAAAUUUGAAAAUGCAAAAUCUAGUCUUUGGCAAUAAUGUGCACUGCUAUUUUCUUUUUCGUUAAAUUGAAUGAGCAAUUUUGGAAUUUUGGGGAUAUUAUGCGUCCAAUAAAUUUGAAUAUAUCUGUUCAUUUAUAAAUUGUGUUUUGUUUA